GGACUACUAGGGUUUCUAAUCCUGUUUGAUCCCCACGCUUUCGUGCCUGAGUGUCAAUAUUCGUGUAGCCAGCUGCCUUCGCAAUUGGUAUUCUAUGUCAUAUCUAAGCAUUUCACCGCUACAUGACAUAUUCUACUGACCUCCACGGUAUUCAAGACUGAUAGUAUCAAUGGCAGUUUCCGAGUUAAGCUCGGAGAUUUCACCACUGACUUACCAACCCACCUACGCACCCUUUAAACCCAGUGAAUCCGGAUAACGCUUGCACCCUCCGUAUUACCGCGGCUGCUGGCAC
rnacentral:rRNA from 1 species